GCUUGCUUUGACAAUGUAUAUGAAAAUUGGACCAAUACAGAGAAGAUUACCAUGCUCCCUAUGCAACAAAAGCUCAGAACGUCAUGAAGCAUUCAUUUUUUUU